UACAGAGGGUGCGAGCGUUACUCGGAAUUACUGGGCGUAAAGCGCACGUAGGCGGCUUGGUAUGUCGGGUGUGAAAUCCCCGGGCUCAACCUGGGAACUGCAUCCGAAACUGCCUUGCUAGAGUAUGGGAGAGGGAAGUGGAAUUUCCGGUGUAGCGGUGAAAUGCGUAGAUAUCGGAAGGAACAUCAGUGGCGAAGGCGGUCUGCUGGGCCGUUGCUGACGCUGAGGCGCGACAGCGUGGGGAGCAAACAGG
rnacentral:rRNA from 1 species